UACAAGUUUGAUAGGUCACAGGUGUAAGCGCAGUAAUGCGUUCAGCUAAGUGAUACUAAUAGACCGAGCGCUUGAACUU
rnacentral:rRNA from 1 species